GGUAACAGGGGGUGCUUGCACUCCGCUGACGACCGGCGCACGGGUGCGUAACGCGUAUACAAUCUGCCUUAUACUGGGGUAUAGCCUUUAGAAAUGAAGAUUAAUCCCCCAUAGUCUCUAGAUGUGGCAUCACAAUUAGAGUAAAGGUUACGGUAUAAGAUGAGUAUGCGUUCUAUUAGUUUGUUGGUGAGGUAAUGGCUCACCAAGACUACGAUAGAUAGGGGCCCUGAGAGGGGGAUCCCCCACACUGGUACUGAGACACGGACCAGACUCCUACGGGAGGCAGCAGUGAGGAAUAUUGGACAAUGGAGGCAACUCUGAUCCAGCCAUGCCGCGUGCAGGAAGACUGCCCUAUGGGUUGUAAACUGCUUUUAUAUAGGAAGAAACCUUGGUACGUGUACCAAGCUGACGGUACUAUAAGAAUAAGGAUCGG
rnacentral:rRNA from 1 species